GUCGAACGCUGGCGGCGUGCUUAACACAUGCAAGUCGAACGGUAAGGCCCUUCGGGGUACACGAGUGGCGAACGGGUGCGUAACACGUGAGCAACAUUCCGAUUUCUGGGGGAUAGCCGGCCCAACGGCCGGGUAAUACCCCAUACGCUUCUCGCGAGGAGUCCCGUGGGAAGGAAACCUCCGGGGGAAAUCGAGUGGCUCGCGGCCUAUCAGCUAGUUGGCGGGGUAAUGGCCCACCAAGGCGAUGACGGGUAGCUGGUCUGAGAGGAUGGCCAGCCACAUUGGGACUGAGAGACGGCCCAGACUCCUACGGGAGGCAGCAGUGGGGAAUCUUGCGCAAUGGCCGAAAGGCUGACGCAGCGACGCCGCGUGCGGGAGGAAGCUCUUCGGGGUGUAAACCGCUGUUGCCCGGAACGAAACUCGGGAUUCGUCCCGAUUGACGGUACCGGGUGAGGAAGCGCCGGCUAACUCUGUGCCAGCCGCCGCAGUAA
rnacentral:rRNA from 1 species